GACGAACGCUGGCGGCGUGCUUAACACAUGCAAGUCGAACGGAGUGGCGAACGGGUGAGUAACGCGUAAUCAACCUGCCCUUCAGCGGGGGACAACAGUUGGAACCGACUGCUAAUACCGCAUACUGAAGGCGGGGAUUGCGUGUGAUUAGCUAGUUGGAGGGGUAACGGCCCACCCAGGCGAUGAUCAGUAGCUGGUCUGAGAGGAUGAACGGCCAAACUGGAACUGAGACACGGCCCAGACUCCUACGGGAGGCAGCAGUAGGGAAUAUUCGGCAAUGGACGAAAGUCUGACCGAGCAAUGCCGCGUGAGUGAAGAAGGUUUUCGGAUCGUAAAACUCUGUUGUUAGAGAAGCGGUAUCUAAAGAGAAAGCAACGGCUAACUACGUGCCAGCAGCCGCGGUAAUAC
rnacentral:rRNA from 1 species